rnacentral:rRNA from 1 species
UACAGAGGGGGCCAGCGUUAUUCGGAAUUAUUGGGCCUAAAGCAUCCGUAGCCGGUUCUACAAGUCUUCCGUUAAAUCCAACUGCUUAACAGGUGGGCUGCGGAAGAUACUAUAGAGCUAGGAGGCGGGAGAGGCAAGCGGUACUCGAUGGGUAGGGGUAAAAUCCGUUGAUCCAUUGAAGACCACCAGUGGCGAAGGCGGCUUGCCAGAACGCGCUCGACGGUGAGGGAUGAAAGCUGGGGGAGCAAACCGG